AUCCUGUAGUACAAAGAAUAGAGCGUUGGACUUCUAAUCCAAAGGUCGUGGGUUCGAAUUCCACCUGGGAUG
rnacentral:tRNA from 1 species